AAAUAGAACUUUGCAGAGAGAGUUAACAGGGCGUGAAACCGUUGAUUGGCAAACGAAUCGGAGCCACGAAGUCGCUUCGUUGUUAGUUGGGCGGAGUUCAGUUCGCGCCGAAAGACGCGGGCGUAUUCUCACGCUCAUCCAACCUUGUAAGCGUACACUGCAACUUGUUAGACGAUCAGCUGUGGGCUGAGUGACGCAGAGCGAGCAAUCGCGCUGCGGCACGCAUUGUCUGUUCGCUCGCGGUAGUAGUAGCGCAGCUGACUUCGGUCUUUUUGUGUUGCUGGCCGCGUGGCGGGUGAACUACAGCUGAAUACUGACAAGCGAAAUGAAAACCGUUGAAAAACGUUAGAGAAAAAGCGGUUGGUCACAUGGAUGUUUACACGUUCGACUGUUAGGUCUAAGCUUGGCAUUUUUGAAUUCAGACCUGCUUGCUACCAGUGGGGCAACUCCUGGUGCUUGUACGGCUUCUGUCUAAUCGGGUGUCGACUUGGCUUGGCAUCGUUCGGGCGUGAAACGAUUGAGCGUUCAUAUGAACUAAUCCGCAAUUUAAAUUGGCAGUGAGUAGGUCGGCUUUCCGAACGA
rnacentral:rRNA from 1 species